GGUUAAGCGACUAAGCGUACACGGUGGAUGCCCUGGCAGUCAGAGGCGAUGAAGGACGUGCUAAUCUGCGAUAAGCGUCGGUAAGGUGAUAUGAACCGUUAUAACCGGCGAUUUCCGAAUGGGGAAACCCAGUGUGUUUCGACACACUAUCAUUAACUGAAUCCAUAGGUUAAUGAGGCGAACCGGGGGAACUGAAACAUCUAAGUACCCCGAGGAAAAGAAAUCAACCGAGAUUCCCCCAGUAGCGGCGAGCGAACGGGGAGCAGCCCAGAGCCUGAAUCAGUGUGUGUGUUAGUGGAAGCGUCUGGAAAGGCGCGCGAUACAGGGUGACAGCCCCGUACACAAAAAUGCACAUGCUGUGAGCUCGAUGAGUAGGGCGGGACACGUGGUAUCCUGUCUGAAUAUGGGGGGACCAUCCUCCAAGGCUAAAUACUCCUGACUGACCGAUAGUGAACCAGUACCGUGAGGGAAAGGCGAAAAGAACCCCGGCGAGGGGAGUGAAAAAGAACCUGAAACCGUGUACGUACAAGCAGUGGGAGCACGCUUCGGCGUGUGACUGCGUACCUUUUGUAUAAUGGGUCAGCGACUUAUAUUCUGUAGCAAGGUUAACCGAAUAGGGGAGCCGAAGGGAAACCGAGUCUUAACUGGGCGUUAAGUUGCAGGGUAUAGACCCGAAACCCGGUGAUCUAGCCAUGGGCAGGUUGAAGGUUGGGUAACACUAACUGGAGGACCGAACCGACUAAUGUUGAAAAAUUAGCGGAUGACUUGUGGCUGGGGGUGAAAGGCCAAUCAAACCGGGAGAUAGCUGGUUCUCCCCGAAAGCUAUUUAGGUAGCGCCUCGUGAAUUCAUCUCCGGGGGUAGAGCACUGUUUCGGCAAGGGGGUCAUCCCGACUUACCAACCCGAUGCAAACUGCGAAUACCGGAGAAUGUUAUCACGGGAGACACACGGCGGGUGCUAACGUCCGUCGUGAAGAGGGAAACAACCCAGACCGCCAGCUAAGGUCCCAAAGUCAUGGUUAAGUGGGAAACGAUGUGGGAAGGCCCAGACAGCCAGGAUGUUGGCUUAGAAGCAGCCAUCAUUUAAAGAAAGCGUAAUAGCUCACUGGUCGAGUCGGCCUGCGCGGAAGAUGUAACGGGGCUAAACCAUGCACCGAAGCUGCGGCAGCGACGCUUAUGCGUUGUUGGGUAGGGGAGCGUUCUGUAAGCCUGUGAAGGUGUGCUGUGAGGCAUGCUGGAGGUAUCAGAAGUGCGAAUGCUGACAUAAGUAACGAUAAAGCGGGUGAAAAGCCCGCUCGCCGGAAGACCAAGGGUUCCUGUCCAACGUUAAUCGGGGCAGGGUGAGUCGACCCCUAAGGCGAGGCCGAAAGGCGUAGUCGAUGGGAAACAGGUUAAUAUUCCUGUACUUGGUGUUACUGCGAAGGGGGGACGGAGAAGGCUAUGUUGGCCGGGCGACGGUUGUCCCGGUUUAAGCGUGUAGGCUGGUUUUCCAGGCAAAUCCGGAAAAUCAAGGCUGAGGCGUGAUGACGAAGCACUACGGUGCUGAAGCAACAAAUGCCCUGCUUCCAGGAAAAGCCUCUAAGCAUCAGGUAACAUCAAAUCGUACCCCAAACCGACACAGGUGGUCAGGUAGAGAAUACCAAGGCGCUUGAGAGAACUCGGGUGAAGGAACUAGGCAAAAUGGUGCCGUAACUUCGGGAGAAGGCACGCUGAUAUGUAGGUGAGGUCCCUCGCGGAUGGAGCUGAAAUCAGUCGAAGAUACCAGCUGGCUGCAACUGUUUAUUAAAAACACAGCACUGUGCAAACACGAAAGUGGACGUAUACGGUGUGACGCCUGCCCGGUGCCGGAAGGUUAAUUGAUGGGGUUAGCGGUAACGCGAAGCUCUUGAUCGAAGCCCCGGUAAACGGCGGCCGUAACUAUAACGGUCCUAAGGUAGCGAAAUUCCUUGUCGGGUAAGUUCCGACCUGCACGAAUGGCGUAAUGAUGGCCAGGCUGUCUCCACCCGAGACUCAGUGAAAUUGAACUCGCUGUGAAGAUGCAGUGUACCCGCGGCAAGACGGAAAGACCCCGUGAACCUUUACUAUAGCUUGACACUGAACAUUGAGCCUUGAUGUGUAGGAUAGGUGGGAGGCUUUGAAGUGUGGACGCCAGUCUGCAUGGAGCCGACCUUGAAAUACCACCCUUUAAUGUUUGAUGUUCUAACGUUGACCCGUAAUCCGGGUUGCGGACAGUGUCUGGUGGGUAGUUUGACUGGGGCGGUCUCCUCCUAAAGAGUAACGGAGGAGCACGAAGGUUGGCUAAUCCUGGUCGGACAUCAGGAGGUUAGUGCAAUGGCAUAAGCCAGCUUGACUGCGAGCGUGACGGCGCGAGCAGGUGCGAAAGCAGGUCAUAGUGAUCCGGUGGUUCUGAAUGGAAGGGCCAUCGCUCAACGGAUAAAAGGUACUCCGGGGAUAACAGGCUGAUACCGCCCAAGAGUUCAUAUCGACGGCGGUGUUUGGCACCUCGAUGUCGGCUCAUCACAUCCUGGGGCUGAAGUAGGUCCCAAGGGUAUGGCUGUUCGCCAUUUAAAGUGGUACGCGAGCUGGGUUUAGAACGUCGUGAGACAGUUCGGUCCCUAUCUGCCGUGGGCGCUGGAGAACUGAGGGGGGCUGCUCCUAGUACGAGAGGACCGGAGUGGACGCAUCACUGGUGUUCGGGUUGUCAUGCCAAUGGCACUGCCCGGUAGCUAAAUGCGGAAGAGAUAAGUGCUGAAAGCAUCUAAGCACGAAACUUGCCCCGAGAUGAGUUCUCCCUGACUCCUUGAGAGUCCUGAAGGAACGUUGAAGACGACGACGUUGAUAGGCCGGGUGUGUAAGCGCAGCGAUGCGUUGAGCUAACCGGUACUAAUGAACCGUGAGGCUUAACCUU
rnacentral:rRNA from 1 species